ensembl:lncRNA
GCGUUCAUCCAACCCUAUCUCACGGCGAAUUCGUACUAAUUCGUACGAAUUAACCAAGUGGCUAAAUCGUACGAUAUCGUACGAGCUGGGUCGUACGAAUUCGUACGAUUUGUUCAUUGCAUUUAGUACAAGCCCAUCAAGACGAAUUCGUACUAAUUCGCACGAUUUAAUUAAUUGGUUAAAUCGUACUAUAUCGUAUCGAUUUGUUCUUCACGUUCAAUAAGCUUGACCCAACUCUCGACAGGAAAACAACGCGAUAUUUUCCUGCAGUUUACACGCGCCACUUCUCGUUACUUCAGAUCCCAUUCCAUUCACCCUUUCAUCUAUUCCAUCUACUCUACAAUCCAACCCAACGGCUCUUUUAAGAGCCAUCAUUAGCAAAAGCUCUAAUUCUCUCUCUCUCCCACACACACACACACACACACACACACACACACACACACACACAUAAACUAACACACACUCCCCCCCUCCCCCCCACACACACAUAAACUAACACACACUCUCUCUCCCAAACACACUCUCUCUCUCUCUCUCUCUCUCUCACACACACACACACACACACACACACACACACACACACACUCUCACGGUUGCCUUCACCCUCUGUCCCUCUUUUUUUCCUAGGCCUUCUGUCUGUCUUCUCACUUUUCUUUCCCCAUUUCUUUUUGCAUUCUUUCUUUAUCUUCAGUAUGGCAUCUUGUCAGAAUUCAGGUUUUGACCAGUUAUGUCAGGAAGCUGCAAAUAUUACAAAGGAGCUUGAACUCAAAGCUGCCAGUGCUGCACUUGAAGCAGCUACCAGGGAGGCUGAACAAAUUCUGCAAACGUUUAAUCUUCCACCA